rnacentral:rRNA from 1 species
CCUACGGGGUGCAGCAGUGGGGAAUAUUGGACAAUGGGCGAAAGCCUGAUCCAGCCAUGCCGCGUGUGUGAAGAAGGCCUUCGGGUUGUAAAGCACUUUCAGUGGGGAAGAAAGCCUUGGGGCUAAUACCCUCGAGGAAGGACAUCACCCACAGAAGAAGCACCGGCUAACUCCGUGCCAGCAGCCGCGGUAAUACGGAGGGUGCGAGCGUUAAUCGGAAUUACUGGGCGUAAAGCGCGCGUAGGCGGUCUGAUAAGCCGGUUGUGAAAGCCCCGGGCUCAACCUGGGAACGGCAUCCGGAACUGUCAGGCUAGAGUGCAGGAGAGGAAGGUAGAAUUCCCGGUGUAGCAGUGAAAUGCGUAGAGAUCGGGAGGAAUACCAGUGGCGAAGGCGGCCUUCUGGACUGACACUGACGCUGAGGUGCGAAAGCGUGGGUAGCAAACAGGAUUAGAUACCCCUGUAGUC